UAUUUAUUUAUUUAUUUUUUAAUUUUUUUUUUUAACGUUUAUUUAUUUUUGAGACAGAGAGAGACAGAGCAUGAACGGGGAAGGGGCAGAGAGAGAGGGAGACACAGAAUCGGAAGCAGGCUCCAGGCUCUGAGCCAUCAGCCCAGAGCCCGACGCGGGGCUCGAACUCACGGACUGCGAGAUCAUGACCUGAGCUGCAGUCGGACGCUUAACCGACUGAGCCACCCAGGCGCCCCUGCCCCUACAUUUUAAAUGGCAUUUUUGCUCUUCAUAUCCUUUUGCUUAGUUGUCUGUUAGUCCCUGCUGCUCCUGUCGGCUUUGACUAGCACUCUACUGCUAAUUUGCUACCUCCUGUUUGCUGAAAAAGCAGACAUUCCAAGUGUGCUGCUGAUUUAAGUCAACAGGAUGGGGGCAAAGUGCUUACUAUUCGGGGAAGUGGGUUUGCUAAAUCAUUUCACUAAGGUAGACUUUUUGGAAGAGGAGCUUACUUAAAGUCUCUAAACAUGUAAAGUCAAAUUAGGAUAGAGAGCUGCCAAGUACAUCAGUAAGAUAGAUUAUUUUCCAGAUCAAGUACAAUUUUAGGCCAGAAACAUGAUAGGAAUAGGAAAACAAUGAGCAUAUGGGCAUUUUUCCAUAUAUAUAAGGACUUUUAAACUACCUCUAGAAAAAGGGUUGAGAAUCAAAAGAGCCACCAGACAAUGCUAGUAUUUUAAAGACACGGAACUGUGAAAUACCAAAUGCUUAAGGAAUUAAAAGGCCAACACGUACCUUUAUAUAGUCAACGAGAUUUUGAUAUUCAAUGUAGUUGCCUCCUCCCACCACAAAAACAAUUGCCUAAAAUGCAAACAGAAAAAAGAAACAGGUAAGUUGAAAAAAUCAGUAUUUUAACUUUCAAGCAACAUGGCUUUUAGUUUGGAGCAUAUUCCACAACUUAGGUAAAAAAAUACAAGCUAGCAAAAGGUCACAUCCUAAGCACCUGAUGCUACUUCAAUUAAAAAAAAAUGUGUUUCCAAAAAGUAGAGAAAAAAACUGACCUCAUUCUUCAUACAAUUAAGUAAUAGCAAAUAAAUCUAAAGGGCUUUCUCUAGAAGGCUUUUUAGAAUUUGAGGUUAUUUACUGUAGGUAGGAAAAACAAAAUUAGCAUUUACAUAAUCUCCAAUAUAUGUUCUUCACUGUAUUUUUAUUGAGAAGCUUAUUGUAUUUCAAAUGAAAGCACAGUCACAGUAUCUUCACAAAUUUGGAAUCCAAUUUUAGAAGGAAGUUCUAUGCAUAUAAAACUUUUACCACAGUCUUAGACUCCUUUUUCUGUGAAUUGUUAAUUUUGUAUCAGCUUUUUUACUUUUUAUUUAAAUUCCAGUUAACAUACAGUGUAAUAUUAAGUUCAGGUGUACAAUACAGAGAUUCAACACUUCCAAACAUCACCCAGUGGUCAUCACAGCAAGUGCUCUCCUUAAUCCCCAUCACCUAUUUCACCAAUCCCCCCACCUUCCUCCUCUCUGGUAGUCAUCUGUUUGUUCUUUAUAGUUAGAGUCUGUUGCUUGGUUUGCCUCUCUCUGCCUCUUUUCCCUGUGUUCAUCUGUUUUGUUUGUUAAAUUCCACAUAUGAGUGAAAUCAGAUCAUAUUUGUCUUUUUCAGACUGAUUUAUUUCACCUCGCAUAAUAAUCUCUAGCUCCAUCCAUGUCAUUGCAAAUGGCAAGAUCUCAUUCUUUUUAAUGGCUAAUAUUUCAGUGUGUGUGUGUGUGUGUACACAUGUAUCUUUAUCUCAUCUUUUUUAUCCAUUCAUCAGUCAAUGGACACUUACAUGAAAGAUGUUCCACAUCACUCAUCAUCAGGGAAAUACAAAUCAAAACUACAAUGAGCUAUCACUUUACACCUGUCAGAGUGGCUAAAAUCAACAACACAAACAACAAGUAUUGGUGAGGAUGUGGAGAAAAGGGAACCCUCAUACAUGGUGGGAAUGCAAACUGGUACAGCCAGUCUGGAAAAGGUUCUUCAAAAAGUUAAAAAAAGAACUACCUUAUGAUCCCUGAGCAAUUACACCACUAAGAGUUUACCCACAGAAUACAAAAACACUAAUUCAGAGGGAUACAUGAACCCCAAUGUUUACAGCAGCAUUAUCUACAAUAGACAAACUAUGGGAAACAGCCCAAGUGUCCACUGACUGUGUCAGUUAUUACUAAGCUUAAACUCUUUUAAGUAGUUUUAUGCAUCAGAAAAAUAUAGUUACUAAUAAUUUUUUAAAAAGAAUCUUGGGUACACAGAAUUGGAUGUAUCCAGAUUACCGGAAAGUAACUGUAAUAAAGCCAUGUUUAAGAUGAAGAUAAUUGUUCAAACUGGUCAUCUUCCUUCCUUUUUAGAGGCAGAGAAUUUUUAUAUAGAACUUACCUCUUGGAAUGGAUUUUUGUUCCUUGGAACUGAGCUGUAACAAAGAAAAAUGAUACUGAAAAUUUCACCUGAGGCUUUCAUUACAGAUGAAAGACAUAUGGAAAUACAUGCAUGUACACACACACUAAAUAUAAAAAUGUAUUUACAAUCCUUCCUCCUUCGCUUUCUUUGAGGCUUGUCCUUAGUUUUGUGUAUCCAAAUAGUGAAUGAGGAAGAAUAUGCUGGAAGUCUAUGUGUCAGUAUCUAAAAGGGAGUAGGGCAAUCUGUUAGCUUUAAAAUAAAAUUCUAGGGGCACCUGGGAGCCUCAGUCGGUAAAGUGACUGACUCUUGGUUUUGGUUCAGGUCAUGAUCUCAUGGUUCGUCAGUUUGAGCCUCACAUCGGGAUUCCCACUGUCAGUGCACAGCCCACUUGGGAUUCUCUCUGUCCAUCUCAAAAUAAAUAAACUUAAAAAAAAAAUUCUAGGAGAAAACUGAGAGGGAGAAGGCAACACUGAGCAGCAGCUCUCAUAAGGAAUAAAAUCUGGGUAUGAGAUGGGCAACAUGGGGUACAGAGAAAUUAUAGAACUUUCCUAAGAUCAUACGACUACACAGUCAGCCAGAGGAAUUUGUUCUUUUCUGGAGUGUGGAUGGCCCUACCCCAACCUGAUCAGUGAUAAGCUCUGCAUGUAUUGCCACCACCUAUUCCUGUACUCAGUGGUGGACAGGGUUUAACCAAUUACAGAACUUCCAGUGAACUCAAAAGUUGCAUCAGAAUUCUUUAACACUUAGCUCCAGAAAGCCACUGCCAGCCAGAUUUACAAGAUAAAAACUAUGUGAUACUGUCUUAAUCCCUUCUUUCAAUUUAUCCAGUCAAAACAAUCAAAGGAGAACACUUAGUAAGUGAUUAGAAUGCAUCUACUAUAUGACUCUACUUAUAUGUGGAAUGUAAGAAACCAAACAGAUGAACACAGGGGAAGGGAAGGAAAAAUUAAAUAAUAUAAAACCAGAGAGGGAGGCAAACCAUAAGAGACUCUUAACUAUGGAGAACAAACUGAGGGUUGAUGGUGGGGGGGGGGGGGGAGGUGGGCGGGGGAUAGGCUGAAUGGGUGAUGGGCAUUAAGAAGGGCACUUGUGGGGGUUCCUGAGUGGCUCAGUUAAGUGUCUGACUUUGGCUCAGGUCAUGAUCUCAUGGUUCGAGAGUUCAGGCCCUGCCUCAGGCUCUGUGCUAACAGCUCAGAGCCUGGAGCCUGCUUCAGAUUCUGUGCCUCCCUCUCUCUGCCCCUCCCCUGCUCACACUGUCUCUGUCUCUCAAAAAGAAAUAAACAUUAAAAAAAAUUUUUUUUAAGUAAAAAAAAAGAAGGGCAUUUGUGAUGAGCACUGGAUGUUAUAUGUAAGUGAUGAAUCACUAAAUUCUACUCCUGAAACCAAUACUACACUGUAUUAACUAACUUGAAUUUAAAUAAAAACUUGAAGAAAAAAAAAGAAUUCAUCUAGAAUUAGGUUAUAGCAUUUUCAAGCCUUUGAGAUAAGAUACAUUCAAGAUUACUACUAGCUAAGUCUAACACAGUACACUUUGCUAAUCUCUUUGGUAUUUUGCUAAACUAUCUUCAAUGCUCCAAAUCAAGUUGUCUAUCUGGGAACAGGAAAGGAGAAGAGAAAGUACAGGCAGCUGUCUCAUCUAGCAGAUGGAUGAACAAAUGCAUUCAAAGCAGAAAAAAAUCUACUUUUUCUAAUUAAAAAAUGUGUCUGUAGUAAUGUGCCUUCAGUUAUACAGUGAAAGUCAAAAGAACUAAUAAAGGAACUUACACAACCUAGAGGAACAUUAGAAUAAGACCCCAAAUUUAGCCAUCCAUGAAUCUAUGACAGAAUAUUGUGGAAAGCAUGUGUAUAUGAGAAUGAGUAGCAGGUACAAAUACAGGAAUAGUGGGCUUUUGGUUCCAAUUCUGCUAUUAAAAAUGGUGUGACUUGGGAUAAGUCACUUAACAUCUCUAAAGGUUUCCUCUCCUUUAAUUGUUCAAAUUACUAAUUACUUCUAAUUGUUCAAAUUACUUCUAAUGUUUCCUUAAACUCUAAAGCUCUGUGAUUCCAUAAAAGGCAUGUUUCUUUGCCCUAAUCAAUAUAUCAUAGUGGUGAAAAAUGUGGCCUGCUUAGCUCUGCCAUUUAUUAACUUUGUGUCCUUGGGCAAGUUAAUUAAUUUUAUUGUGCCAGUUUCAUCUAUAAAAUGAAAAUAAUAGUAUUUUCUUAGAAGGUUCUAUUAAGAAUUCAAUGAAAUGUGAAAAAUGUUUUGAAUGGUUCCUGGCACAUAAAAAGGGUACAAUAUUAGCUAUUAUCUUUAUUACCAUCAUUAUCAUCUCAACUUCAAGAUUAGGGUCAUGCAACAAAGUGUCUUAAACUUAACUUCCUUAACCCCUUAUAGAUUUGGCAUCUGCCUAAAAUUCUGCAUUUAUUCGUAUUUUUAAUCUUUAGUGUUUGGGAUAAUAUCUCUCACAUAUUUAUAGCUUAUUAUGAAUUACUGUUCUCUAAGAUAACUAGUUUUAAGUAUAUACUUCUUUCAGGCUUUCAGGCUUUUCAAGAAUUGCUAUUUCUUCAUAUAUUCUAGGAUGUUUUAACAAAGUCUAUUGUUACUACAUUGUAUACCAUUUUCUCUGUAUCAACUCCUAGAUGGAAGAAUCCAAUCCCUUAUAUCUUAACAUUAUAGACGAUUAUUCUGUCAUUACUUUCAUAAUUGUAGUUACUCCUUUUGGGGAUGUUUUUAUUACACUCUUUGUUUCCACAUGGGCAGAUUUUUAAAUACGUUUUUGUUAAUUCCCUUUGAUAUUAUAACCAUGUUUUAACAAUUACAAAAAGUGACACAUUGAUCUGAAGACUGCUCAUUCUUAGCACGGGAUCCUAAGCCUUGCUGCCAAGUCUAUACAGAGAUCCAGAUCAAUCCAAACUAGGGUUUUGAUGCUGCCUUUCUUGAUUCUAGACUCUUGUGACAACCGCAUUCUAGCUGCCAUAGAAACAGGAUGGGCUGUUUUAUGAAACAGAUUGUGAUGAUUUUCACAUUCUUUUAGCUUGGAAACCCAGUAAAUGCUAAGAAUAUUUAUCGGUCUAUCUAUCCAACAAUUUAUCUCUCUCAAUUUACUUUUCAGCCCAAAAGAAUUUAGUGCUAUCUGAACACAUGCACUUAAAAAUUUCACUUCUCUCCUAAUUUAAUUUUAUAAAGUUAAAUUGCUCGGGUACUCUUUAUACUACAUCAAUUGAUGCUCACUAGUUGUCAUUUACAGAAACUUGCUCCUUAGGAUAUAUUUUCUCUACAUUUAAUUAUACAUGAAGAAUAUAAUCUACAUUUAAUUUGGAUGAGAGCUGGCCAGAAUAGUUACAGCAGCUGAGAAAACCAAUUCUCAUUACCUGUGAUAAUGACUAAAAACAGGCUCUUGGAGAACAUGGACUCUUUCUUUCCCUCAUGUAGUCUGCUGUGAUUAAGUGCACAAUGAACUCAGAUUUUAUUAUCUUUCAUAAACUGAGUUUGAUACAUUCACGAAUUUACAAGUACAAUAUUAUACGCUACUCACAGGAUUUGACUUCAUCUCCAUGAGAUUGUCUAAAAUACGAGUAACAGGUAGAUUCUGUAGAAAACAUAAAUAUUUUGUUAAAUAUUAGAAAAAUAAUCAAAAUUGUUCUAUUAACAAAACAACCAAACCAUUUCACAUUUAACUAUGCUCACUUUUUGAUUAAACACAUUCUAAAAUUAAGAAUUCAGUGAAUGGUGUCAUAGAUGUAAAUAUCCUUGGCACUACUGAAGUUUCCAGAAAAAAAAAUAUAUAUAAUUCUAAAUCAAAAGGUCCUUUUAAUGUGAAAGUGUAACCAGGUUUCAGUACAAACACGUUUGGGCUUUUCACUUUGUUGGAUGUUUGUUUUUUAAUACUAGUAAUUGCAAUCUUCUGAUAAAAUAAGAAUUCCAUUUUCCCCCCAUUUCUUUUCUGCAGAUAGUAAGAGUUUCUUUCAACAGAGUAACUUAGGAGCAUCUGGGUGGCUCAACUGGUUGAGCGGUUUACUUUGGCUCAGGUCAUGAUCUCAUGGUACAUGAGUUUGAGCCCCACAUCUAGCUCUCUGUUGUCAGCACAGAGCCCACUUUGGAUCCUCUGUCUCCCUCUCUCUCUGCCCCUUCCCCCACUCACGCUCUCUUUUUCUCAAAAUAAACAUUAAAAAAAAAAAAAAAGAAUAAGAAGAGUAACUUAAAGUUUGAAGAAACUCAGAGUCUCUCAUUUCUAAUGUAUAUUCUUUUAAGCCAGUGGGGCGCCUGGGUGGCCCAGUUGGAUGAGCAUCCAACUUCGGCUCAGGUCAUGAUCUUGUGGUUCACGAGUUCGAGCCCCACGUCAGAGUCUGUGCUGACAGCUCAGAGCCUGGAGCCUGCUUCCCAUUCUGUGUCUCCCUCUCUCUGCCCCUCCCUGAUUCAUACUCACUCUCUCUCAAAAAUAAACAUAAGAAAAAAAUUUAUAUUCUUCUAAGCCAAAAAAAUACUUGCGCUCUUCCAAAAAUGGGGAAAUGGAUACACACAAAUUUUAUUGACCAUUUUUGUUUUGCCUGGGAUAAACUCCAAAUUUCCAAUGACAUACUUCAUUGUCUUCUUACAGAGUAAAUUUCACGUUGAACAUGAAUGUUUAAUACUGACAUUGGCAGAAGAUUGCCUCUUGACAUGCUUACAUGCCUUGGGAUAAGAAAUAGUACUGUUCCAUUUCCAUCUGAUGAUUUUUAUCAUUAUUUUGAACAUAACAACACAUGGAAUACAGAAAAUUUACUAAGUGACUAUUAUGUCUGUUCAAACUGCAUUCCCACUGGGAUGAUAUUCCGUCCACUUUGAACCGAUUUCCUUUGUGAACUGUACAGGAUGUUCUGUAAAGAAUAUUUUGUAUCUUAGAGACUUCAUACAACAAAGGCAACAUUAAAUCUGAUUAUUUAAAUAAAUGUUGAUAACAAACACAUUACUAUUUUACAAAAGUUUUGCUUUCUUUAGGACAUAAAAUAUUUUGUUACUAAAAUGGAUUAUCACUAUGGAAAAUGCUGCUUUGCCCAGACAGAAAAUUUGCAUUUCUUUUUUCUUUCUCUAUAUUAGCAAGUAAAAACCUUUUAAGAUGAUUUUACCAAGUAAAAUUGAAGCUAUUUCAUUAUUCCCUAUUUGUGUUGGCCAGGAACUUUUUCAUAUAAACAAAACACCAAAGGUUCAAUCUAACUAAAUGUACUUCCUGAAUUCUAUAAUUUAGAAUUAAAAAAAAAAUAAGGCAGCUCAAAAUUUUACCUUUUAAGUUUUGUUUCAAAUACAGUUGA